UGGGGAAUAUUGCGCAAUGGGCGAAAGCCUGACGCAGCAAUACCGCGUGAGUGAGGAAGGUCUUCGGAUUGUAAAGCUCUGUCAGGGUGGAAAAACGGCAGAUGGUCUAAUAGGCCAUUUGAUUGAUGGUACACCCAAAGGAAACACCGGCUAACUUCGUGCCAGCAGCCGCGGUAAUACGAAGGGUGUAAGCGUUGUUCGGAUUUAUUGGGCGUAAAGCGCGCGCAGGCGGAUUUGCAAGUCAGAUGUGAAAUCUCGGUGCUCAACGCCGAAAUUGCGUCUGAAACUACAAGUCUAGAAUAUUGUAGAGGGAAGGGGAAUUUCUCAUGUAGGGGUAAAAUCCGUAGAGAUGAGAAGGAACACCAGAGGCGAAGGCGCCUUCCUGGGCAAUUAUUGACGC
rnacentral:rRNA from 1 species